rnacentral:rRNA from 1 species
UCCUGGCGGCGAGUGGCGAACGGGUGAGUAAUACAUCGGAACGUGUCCUGUAGUGGGGGAUAGCCCGGCGAAAGCCGGAUUAAUACCGCAUACGAUCUACGGAUGAAAGCGGGGGAUCGCAAGUACCUCGCGCUAUAGGGGCGGCCGAUGGCGGAUUAGCUAGUUGGUGGGGUAAAGGCCCACCAAGGCGACGAUCCGUAGCUGGUCUGAGAGGACGACCAGCCACACUGGGACUGAGACACGGCCCAGACUCCUACGGGAGGCAGCAGUGGGGAAUUUUGGACAAUGGGCGCAAGCCUGAUCCAGCAAUGCCGCGUGUGUGAAGAAGGCCUUCGGGUUGUAAAGCACUUUUGUCCGGAAAGAAAUCCUCUGGGUUAAUACCCCGGGGGGAUGACGGUACCGGAAGAAUAAGCACCGGCUAACUACGUGCCAGCAGCCGCGGUAAUACGUAGGGUGCGAGCGUUAAUCGGAAUUACUGGGCGUAAAGCGUGCGCAGGCGGUGAUGUAAGACCGAUGUGAAAUCCCCGGGCUUAACCUGGGAACUGCAUUGGUGACUGCAUCGCUGGAGUAUGGCAGAGGGGGGUAGAAUUCACGUGUAGCAGUGAAAUGCGUAAAGAUGUGGAGGAAUACCGAUGGC